AUUGAACGCUGGCGGCAGGCCUAACACAUGCAAGUCGAACGGUAACAGGAAACAGCUUGCUGUUUCGCUGACGAGUGGCGGACGGGUGAGUAAUGUCUGGGAAACUGCCUGAUGGAGGGGGAUAACUACUGGAAACGGUAGCUAAUACCGCAUAACGUCGCAAGACCAAAGAGGGGGACCUUCGGGCCUCUUGCCAUCGGAUGUGCCCAGAUGGGAUUAGCUAGUAGGUGGGGUAACGGCUCACCUAGGCGACGAUCCCUAGCUGGUAUGAGAGGAUGACCAGCCACACUGGAACUGAGACACGGUCCAGACUCCUACGGGAGGCAGCAGUGGGGAAUAUUGCACAAUGGGCGCAAGCCUGAUGCAGCCAUGCCGCGUGUAUGAAGAAGGCCUUCGGGUUGUAAAGUACUUUCAGCGGGGAGGAAGGGAGUAAAGUUAAUACCUUUACUCAUUGACGUUACCCGCAGAAGAAGCACCGGCUAACUCCGUG
rnacentral:rRNA from 1 species